GUCCACUGCCAGGGCCCACGAAUCGGUGGCCAUGGUCCCGGAGGAGGAAGGCCGACUGGCGAAAAACACAACCGCACGCACGGCAACACCAGCCCCGAACUCUCUGCAGGCGCAAGAAUCACACUCACGCGGACCGGAAGUGGCGAUGCGCGAAGGUGACGUCAGUUUCCGUCCGGGGCGAGACGUCACCGUCCGCGCGGCGCCACGCAGGGCCUAACACCUGGCUUCGCUUCCACUCUUCGUGCCCACACCCGCUUUUUCCGCGGACUUCCCUAGGAGCCACCUCAUCGUGCCUGGAAAUCCAUGAAAGAAGUAGAAGAGAAGAAUAAGUGAUGAACAGAUGACCAGAUCUCUUCCCUAGCUUCCCCUUCAGUAAUCUCCCAAAUAAACUCUGUGAUCAAACUGUGUGAACAUGAUCACAUCUAGAGGAAGAUCACAAGAAGUUGAGGAGCCUGCACACAGUGGGGGAUGGCGACGGCUCAGACCCCCAACUCAAUGAUGAACUGAGAUUACUUCCCUCCUUCCCUUUAAAAGUUUCAUGAGCAGAAUCUUCGGAGGUGGUUUUUGGGGUAUGUUGAGUCCACCAUCUCCCCAGAUUGCUGGCAUUCUGAUUAAAGGCACUUUUCCUUUUUACCA